rnacentral:rRNA from 1 species
AGAGUUUGAUCAUGGCUCAGAAUCAACGCUGGCGGCGUGCCUAACACAUGCAAGUCGCACGAGAAAGGGUAGCAAUACCUGAGUACAGUGGCGCACGGGUGAGUAACACGUGAAUAAUCUACCUCCGAGUGGGGAAUAACUUAGGGAAACCUGAGCUAAUACCGCAUAACACUUACGAGUCAAAGCAGCAAUGCGCUUGGAGAGGAGUUCGCGGCAGAUUAGUUAGUUGGCGGGGUAAUGGCCCACCAAGACGAUGAUCUGUAUCCGGCCUGAGAGGGCGCACGGACACACUGGAACUGAAACACGGUCCAGACUCCUACGGGAGGCAGCAGUGGGGAAUUUUGCGCAAUGGGGGAAACCCUGACGCAGCAACGCCGCGUGGAGGAUGAAAUCCCUUGGGAUGUAAACUCCUUUCGAUCGGGACGAUUAUGACGGUACCGGAAGAAGAAGCCCCGGCUAACUUCGUGCCAGCAGCCGCGGUAAUACGAGGGGGGCGAGCGUUGUUCGGAAUUAUUGGGCGUAAAGGGUGCGUAGGCGGUUUGAUAAGUCUGAUGUGAAAUCUAUGGGCUCAACCCAUAGUCUGCAUUAGAAACUGUCGGGCUUGAGUAUGGGAGAGGUGAGUGGAAUUUCCGGUGUAGCGGUGAAAUGCGUAGAUAUCGGAAGGAACACCUGUGGCGAAAGCGGCUCACUGGACCAUUACUGACGCUGAUGCACGAAAGCUAGGGGAGCAAACAGGAUUAGAUACCCUAGUAGUCC